rnacentral:lncRNA from 1 species
UUUUCAAUCCAUCGGGAUACCCUUUUUUUUGCCUGAGCCGCCCUCUCGGGUUUUCGACUCACCGGGUGUACGUUUUUUUAUUUUUUAUAUCCCUAAUUUUUGACCGAACCUCUUUAUUCUUUUUUUUGGUUCGUCUGGCUGCCCUUUUUUGCCUGGAUUCUUUUUCUUUCAUCCAGCGGAUCAAUUAUGCGAAGUAUUUUUUAACUGCGUUUGAGUUGACAGGGGAU